rnacentral:lncRNA from 1 species
CCGAUCUGGAAAGCCGAAGCGUUUCCACGCGGCCAAUCCGGCCGACAAUGGGAAUAUUAGUUAAGGUUCUGAAUAAGGAAAGUUGUCGGACUUUAUCCGGCCGCUGUUGUUUUUAGGGCGCGGUAGUGCCCGAACAAAGAUGUUCUCCCGAAAUGGAGAACUCGCAGUAGCAAAUCCUCGUUGUACCUCUGGUGUUUCCCAUCCCUCUGUGGACGGAGACGGUAGCGCCGGUUUGGUCGCAUUCUCGGCCAAGAAAAAUGGCUUCGGCCACACCGUGCACCAGGUACGGAUGCAGCAAACACAUACCCACGCUUGUUGCACCCGCGCGGGUUGGCUGUAUUUAUUCGUACUUGGUUUUUUCUUGUGGACCUAGAGAUAUUAGACAGACCCGCACCUAUGGACUAAGUUAUGAUUAAGCCCAGAGUAUUAUCGCAGAAGUUAUUAGCCUGUAGUACCCUCGAUGGUGGAGCGGGAGAACGGCCUUAUAGCGUGUUUCAGAAUACAAGACCAGCCACAUAAUUUCCCGUGACUGAAAGUGGUAGUAGAUGGUCCGAGGGGAGCCUAUUAAGUACCUUUCCAUCACCGCCAAAAGGCCGAUAGUCGAUUAGGUUAUGUUGGGUUUUAUUUACGCCACCUUAUCUUACUAGAACAUAUUUUUUUUGUCAACAGAUGACGCCACUUUCUACUCAGAGUACUGGGCGGC